rnacentral:rRNA from 1 species
UACGGAGAGGGCUAGCGUUGUUCGGAAUUACUGGGCGUAAAGCGCGCGUAGGCGGACCUGCAAGUCGGGGGUGAAAGCCCGAGGCUCAACCUCGGAACUGCCUUCGAUACUGCGGGUCUCGAGUCCGGGAGAGGUGAGUGGAAUUCCUAGUGUAGAGGUGAAAUUCGUAGAUAUUAGGAAGAACACCAGUGGCGAAGGCGGCUCACUGGCCCGGUACUGACGCUGAGGCGCGAAAGCGUGGGGAGCAAACAGG